GACGAACGCUGGCGGCGUGCUUAACACAUGCAAGUCGAACGGUGAAGCCCUUCGGGGUGGCUCAGUGGCGAACGGGUGCGUAACACGUGAGCAACCUGCCCCUGGCUCUGGGACAACCACUGGAAACGGUGGCUAAUACCGGAUACGACCCGCCUCGGCAUCGAGUGUGGGUGGAAAGUUUUUCGGCGGGGGAUGGGCUCGCGGCCGAUCAGCUUGUUGGUGAGGUGAAGGCUGACCAAGGCGACGACGGGUAGCCGGCCUGAGAGGGCGACCGGCCACAGUGGGACGGAGAUACGGCCCAGACUCCUACGGGAGGCAGCAGUGGGGAAUAGUGCACAAGGGGCGGAAGCCUGAUGCAGCAACGCCGCGGGCGGGAUGACGGCCUGCGGGUUGUAAACCGCUUUCGCCUGUGACGAAGCGUGAGUGACGGUAAGGGGUAAAGAAGCACCGGCUAACUACGUG
rnacentral:rRNA from 1 species